rnacentral:ncRNA from 1 species
CAAAGGGGUGCCGAAUGGCUGAGAUUAUACCCUAUGAACCUGAACCGGAUAAUGCCGGCGUAGGGAUUGUUCAUAUCG